UACAGAGGUCUCAAGCGUUGUUCGGAUUCAUUGGGCGUAAAGGGUGUGUAGGUGGCGCCGUAAGUCGGGUGUGAAAUUUCGGAGCUUAACUCCGAAACUGCAUUCGAUACUGCGGCGCUGGAAGGCGGGAGAGGAUGGCGGAAUUCCCAGUGUAGAGGUGAAAUUCGUAGAUAUUGGGAAGAACACCGGUGGCGAAGGCGGCCAUCUGGCCCCGCGAUUGACGCUGAGGCGCGAAAGCGUGGGGAGCAAACAGG
rnacentral:rRNA from 1 species